AUUUCUGAAACUUGGAUCUGUCUUUUCGGGAGGCUUGUCUGUUAGGUGUCCUGCAUUCCCUUUAUCUUUCAAGGUUGCUUUCAUGAGUUGAGACCGGAGGAAUGUUUGGUAAUUCUGAUUCAAACAUGUAAUCAUCUGUUUCAUUUUUAACACCAGCCAUGAAGAAAAAGAAGGGGAAAACUUUUUUUUUUGAAAGUUUUUUCCGGCUUCCGGAGAGUGGCGGAUCUUCCGGCGGCGAAAUUCUGGGGUCUGGCCGUUUUUUUCAAGACACCGACGUUGGUGUGGGGUGUGAGAUUAAAAAGUGGACGAGGAUAGAUGCAGUUGUAUCAACAAUGCACAUGGGUGAAUAGUACCUAAGCUUUGUUAAAGGUGACUAUGCAAUGAAGGUAACAAUAAAUAGACUGCAAUUAAGGCGGCUAAGGUUUUGGAAAAAGAACCGCAAUUAAGCUGACUAGGGUUUUGAAAAAAAACUGCAAUUAAGGUGGCUAGAGUUUUUUUUUUUCGGAAGCUAAACCCUCUCGAAUGAGAGUUCAUGAUACAAUGUUAAAUCUGAAUAUUACUUGUGAUAAUGAAUACUAUCUCCGUUCCUUUAUGUAAGUGACAACUCACUUUUUAAAUUCAUUGAAUAAUCAAUGUAUUUAGUCUAUAAACCGAUCAAGUACAUUGGUUAUUCAAUCAACCUAAAAAUUGAAUUCUCUUAUAUAAAGGAAUGGAGAUAGUAUAAAACACUAAUCUCUUUAAAUAGAGUAUUCUGACCAGACGGGCCUUACUAAAGAUCCAAACAUGAAUUACUAUAAUAUUAAAAAUAACAAUAAUAAAGUAAACUAUUUCUAACACAGCCUGCCUCGUUCCUUUCAAAUGUGCCUUGUACCUUUACUGUAAAUGCUCACUUACAGUUCACUGUAUUCUUUUCUAUACGUAAAGUCGUGACUAAAAGUUUUAUUCUUUGAGCUCACAUCACCUUCAGAACAACUUCCUCCAAACUUAUAGAGCCCUCUGUACAUUUUUUUGAAAUUUCUACAUCAGACAUUUGAGAGGUAAAUCCAGCAAAUGAAGAAAGCCAAAUUUGAGUAUGACAAAUAUUUAGGCAUAGGAUGCUUGGUACAUGAUCUAAAAGGUUUCCUAGUUGCUAUAUGUACAUCUAAAUCUUAAUUAAGAUUGUUAGGAAUAGAAGAAGACUUACCACAACUCUUAGGCAUAGAAGAAGACUUACCCGGAUUAGGACGAUGAUUAGGAUCAUCUCUCGGCAGGGCUGGAGAAUGGGUUUCUUGGGAGUCUGAGAAAUCUAUUAUCAAGACAUAAUAUUAUAGAAAAAUGUUAAUGGUUACUUCCCUUUUUUAUUUUCAUUAUCUGAUGUAUUCUAGAUGGGUCAAUCUUUGUAUUGUUUAAUUUUUUUAAUAUAUUUAAACAGUGUUCUCUCACCUGUUCUCAACAUGCCAAUUUCUGAUUCAAAGAGGCAAAGAGUCUUGGUUGCAUCUUGUGUGCUAUAUGCUGAGGUUUGUGUUUUCAUCUUGUCCAUUCUCAUUCUUUCUGAUUUGUCUUCUUUUUGUAUACAACAAUGUAGUUACCGGUAGUAAUCCUCUGUCAGGUAUACCAUGCUGUUAGCAGAGAUCAAAAGCCUCUUCGCAAACAGUACCUUGAGGCUAUAUUACCACCAUUUGUUGCUGUCUUAAGGAGGUGGCGCCCCCUUUUGGCUAACAUCCAUGAGCUUGCUACUGCUGAUGGUUUGAAUCCUCUUGUCGCCGAUGACCGUGCAUUAGCUGCUGAUUCCUUGCCGAUUGAGGUACUUUCCUGUCCAUUCCUAUAAAUACACACAUUAAAACAAAUGUAAUAAGAAGGGUUUGACUCAGUUUUAUGCCAAUACCUUCACAUUCACUUUUAACACAUUGUUUAGUUAAAACAAUGUUUUUUUAAAUUUAUAAUAAAUUUUCUUUACGUAUUAUUUAUAGUAAUAUUGUAUAUAAAAAAUAUUAAAUUUACUCUCUUUACCACUUUUCAUUUUUACUGAUGGAUACUUUUGUCAUUUCAAAAAUAUUCUUUUUUUUCCUUUCCUCCAACUUUUACCCAAUUGAACAAGGAAAGGGAACACUUACAUAUUUUUUCCCUUCCCUUCCCUUUUAUUUUUUGAAACAACUAUUAAAUCAUCUCAUUUUCUACUCUCUUUCGUUUAACUUUAUUUCCUUCUACUUCCUUUGACUUGCUCUUCCAGAUUUUUGGUUCUAAUAAAGUUGAUCGUAGGUCCAGUAAGAUCAAUGGGUGUCAUGAGUUGUCUAAUUUCUUUGCAUAUGGGAAGUAUUGAUCACCUGAAGUAAUCCAUGUGGAAAGACCUAAGAGAAGGCAUACUUAUAACUCUAUCCAAAGCAAAUUUAAAGGCAAUAAUCACACCCUUGAAAGCCAUGAUAUUCCUUUACAACACAAAUAAAGUCCCUUACAAAUAAACAUUGGCACAAUGUAUUGAUUUCCUUCUUGUUUACCUUCUUAUUACCAAACCAUUAGACUCUCGAUUGGAAAAGAAAAUAAUUGUUUGAAUGCAAAAUGGCAUGUGUAGGCAUCACAAAAAAGACUGCAAUUCAAGUUGGCACCCCAACUACUACCUAUAACUUUUAAGUUUAACACACCAUAAGUUUAUUAAGAAAAGAGAAAAAAGUACCCCAAAAAAUAUGGGUUAUUUCAGAGGAUCAGUACUUCUCAGAUUCAAAUAAAUUAGACAGCUUUAAUGCUGAUUAAUCUUAUUAGACCUGUUUCGAUAAUUUUUUUUGCUUUGUUUUUAUAGCCAAAGUAUUCCCUUUUCUCUAUGCUUUCUGAUUCUAAUACAACAUACACAGUGCGCGCUUCACACAUGAUUCAUUGGCAUGAUCUUGCUGCAUUGUUUUAGAUGUUGAAUUGAUAGUUGCUAUUUUCUUCAGGCUGCUCUCGCAAUGAUAUCUCCUGCCUGGGCUGCUGCUUUUGCAUCUCCACCUGCUGCAAUGGCACUGGCUAUGAUUGCAGCUGGUGCGUCAGGUGGCGAAAGCCAAGCUCCUGCAACACCUACCCAUUUUAGGCGUGACACCUCACUGCUCGAACGCAAACAGACUAGGCUUCAGACGUUUUCAAGCUUUCAAAGUUCUUCGGAGGUCUCUAACAAAACACCACCUCUUCCCAAGGAUAAAGCAGCUGCAAAAGCUGCUGCUUUGGCAGCUGCUCGUGAUCUUCAGCGAUUUGCAAAAAUUGGCUCUGGAAGAGGUCUUAGUGCUGUUGCAAUGGCUACAUCUGCACAACGAAGGAGUGCUAGUGAUAUGGAGCGGGUCAAGAGGUGGAAUAUUUCUGAAGCAAUGGGAGUUGCCUGGAUGGAAUGUUUGCAGCCAGUUGGUACAAAGUCGGUGUAUGGGAAAGAUUUUAAUGCUUUUUCAUACAAAUAUAUUGCUGUUCUUGUAGCCAGUUUUGCACUAGCAAGAAAUAUGCAACGGUCUGAGGUUUGUUUGCUAAUUUUUUCCAUGACACGCAGAUUUAUUGAGAAGCUGCUUGUUAAAUAUUACAUGUUUGCCAGGUUGACAGGCGCGCUUAUGUGGAUAUAGUUACUCGUCAUCGAAUCAGGACUGGAGUCCAUGCAUGGCGCAAACUUAUUCACCAAUUAAUUGAGAUGAGAAGUCUUUUUGGGCCUUUUGCAGAUAAUUUAUACAGCCCGCCUCAGGUAUGUUUUGAUAUUCACAUUACAAAUCUCAAAUUCUUAUAACUAGAACGUGUCUUCAAGGAAAUGUGCCUUUAGUUGCUUGCUGUUGUUUCAUGUUUAUUCUUGGAAUAAACCAGAGGGUUAAGACAGAAAAAACAGCUUUUUGUAUGGGACUUUUGGUUUUGCUAAAUUUUUUGACUGUUCAAUUUAUCUGAUGCUUGUUUUUCUUUUUCUUUUGUUUUUGCCUAUAAUUGGAGGAUAUGUUAUCUGGCCAGCUAUUACUCAUACUAAAAUUUAAUCAUGCGACAAAGUACUUGAGUUCACUUUAUUAUACUUAUUAUUAUAUUUUUUUUUUGUAGGUUUUUUGGAAACUAGAUUUAAUGGAAAGUUCUUCCAGGAUGAGAAGAUGUUUGAGGAGGAAUUAUCGAGGAUCUGAUCAUUUAGGUUCUGCGGCUGAUUAUGAGGAAUACUCGGGAGAGAAAAAUGACCAGAGCACUCCAGUUUUGUCUGCCGAAGCAAUCUCAUUGGAGGCAGUCAAUGAAGAUGAAGAACAGGUGGAUGCUGAGAAUUUGGUUGCUAGGACUGAUGAAAUUCAAAAUGAAGGAGACAAUCAGCCUAGACUUUCUGAAUCAGCAGAGCAAUCUGUUCGGGCAUCUUUGGAAUCCAGUGGUUCUCAACUUGCAACUGAUGAACACGAUCAGAGCUCUUCAGCCAUCGCACCUGGGUAUGUUCCUAGCGAACUUGAUGAAAGAAUUGUUCUCGAGCUACCAACAUCUAUGGUCCGACCACUUAAAGUCAUUCGGGGAAUCUUCCAAGUAAGUUUUACAGGUCUAUUUUUAAAAUUAUUAUAAUUUUGACUAACUUGUAUUGAGUUAUGAAUGUGAAUGCCUCCAUUGAUUCGGAAACUAUCAUGUUGAUACUGCUUAUGUGAGUUGUAGAUUGUGUGCACUUUAUCGGCAUAUAUCUUUUGCAUUUCAUAGCCUUUUGAGAAAAUGUGAUUAUGUGACCUACUGAGGUUGCGUUGACAUAUAAGAAAAUUUAUAAAGCAUGAAGAAUUUUGCACUUAAUGUUUCUAUUGUGGGAAAGAUGUAUUGCACAUAUAUUCUAAAAGUUAGAAUAUCCAAAAAAUACCUUUGAGGCAGAGCAUGAUGCACACUCCAUGAGGACAGUUUAUGCUAUUUAGCAAUAAUAUAUUUUUGAGAAUGACGUAGAAUUUUUAUUGAUUUGAUCUUAUCUUCAGGAGUUAUUUUUUCUCUUGUUUAAUUUUGAUUAAGGGUUUUAUUUUAAAUAUAAACUGAACCACUGUCUGGUUUAAUGGAAACAAAGUUUGAAAAUAGUUUCACAGCUUUUU
rnacentral:lncRNA from 1 species